CAGCAGCCGCGGUAAUACCGGCGGCCCGAGUGGCGGCCACUAUUAUUGGGCUUAAAGCGUCCGUAGCCGGGUUGGUUAGUCUCCCGGGAAAUCUGGCCGCUUAACGGUCAGAAUUCCGGGAGAUACUGCCAGCCUAGGGACCGGGAGAGGCCGAGGGUAUUCCCGGAGUAGGGGUGAAAUCCUAUAAUCCCGGGAGGACCACCUGUGGCGAAGGCGCUCGGCUGGAACGGGUCCGACGGUGAGGGACGAAGGCCAGGGGAGCGAACCGGAUUAGAUACCCGGGUAGUCCUGGCUGUAAACGAUGCGGACUUUGUGUCGGACAAGCUAUGAGCUUGUCCGGUGCCGGAGGGAAACCGUUAAGUCCGCCGCCUGGGGAGUACGGCCGCAAGGCUGAAACUUAAAGGAAUUGGCGGG
rnacentral:rRNA from 1 species